rnacentral:rRNA from 1 species
UACGUAUGGUGCAAGCGUUAUCCGGAUUUACUGGGUGUAAAGGGAGCGUAGACGGCAAGGCAAGUCUGAAGUGAAAGCCCGGUGCCUAACGCCGGGACUGCUUUGGAAACUGUUUGGCUGGAGUGCAACAGAGGUAGGCGGAAUUCGUGGUGUAGCGGUGAAAUGCUUAGAUAUCACGAAGAACUCCGAUUGCGAAGGCAGCUUACUGGAUUGUAACUGACGCUGAUGCUCGAAAGUGUGGGUAUCAAACAGG